rnacentral:rRNA from 1 species
AGCGAACGCUGGCGGCAGGCCUAACACAUGCAAGUCGAACGAACUCUUCGGAGUUAGUGGCGGACGGGUGAGUAACACGUGGGAACGUGCCUUUUGGUUCGGAAUAACUCAGGGAAACUUGUGCUAAUACCGAAUGUGCCCUUCGGGGGAAAGAUUUAUCGCCAUUAGAGCGGCCCGCGUCUGAUUAGCUAGUUGGUGAGGUAACGGCUCACCAAGGCGACGAUCAGUAGCUGGUCUGAGAGGAUGACCAGCCACACUGGGACUGAGACACGGCCCAGACGGGGGAGGGAGGAAGGGGGGGGGGAGCGUGCGAAAUGGGGGAGAGCCGGACGAAGGGGGGGGGAGAGGAUGAUGAGUGUCGUAGGAGUGAAAAAUGCUGACGGGGGGGAGAGGAAGGCAGGUGCCGGGGGAAGAGGCCCAGGCUAAGGUGGUGCGGGGAGGGGGGGUAAGAAGAGGAGAAGGAAGGUGAGGAC